rnacentral:lncRNA from 1 species
CAACAAUAAAAAAUUACUGCUAAGUCUGCUCUCGCUCAGGAAAACAUCGCUGAUGGACCCAGAGAGGGGGAGAGAGCCCAUCUGCACCCCCACGGAACGGCUCGACCCGAGCUGUCAGUAAGCGCAGCGCCGCGGUGCCGUAUGCGAAGCACAUGGAUGCACUUUGUCCUGAACUGCUGCAGCUCUUCGUGCAGCCCCAGCCUGCUGACACAGCCACGCGAGCCAGCACACAAAUGGCAUCCGAAUACUAAAUAUUUUACUUGGCAGUUAAACAGUUAAGCUGACAGUGACUGGACAGAGCCCUUAAGCACGUUUGACUGAGGGCUCUGUCAGCUUACACCAAAACUUGGCAGGACAAGAAAUACUUUCGAGCAAGCAAGUGAAAAUGAGUUCUCCGUGGCACUCGGUUAAUGCGGCCAUUCACGAUGCUGACGAGCCACAACGCACCCGGGAUAAAGAACAAAGCAAACCUUCAUCAAAGCGAACCUAAACGCGCCGCAACAAAGCGGGGAUUCCACUCCUAAAAGCCCAAACCCCACAACUUUCCCCGCAGAGAAACGCCGUCCCGUAGGACGUCCCGCAGCGGAGCGCUCCUCAACCUCCGGCAGCGCUACCGCCGGCACGGCCCGGAUUCCUGAAAUAACUGCUGCCAGAUAAAAGCUCCGCAGCCCCGCGCUGGAGGAGCUGCACACAGGUCUCUUCAUCAGCCUAAGGGCAAAGCUGUGUUUGUGUAUGAAAGGUCACCCACAGAAGAAAAAUCCUGCUCCAAACAAAUAAGGUUUUACAAAGAGGCACACUGGUCAUUGCUGCUCUGCAGCAGGAAGAUGCACGAGCGUGCAUGGAUCCACAUCCAAAGCAGCAGCAGUCAUUCAGAGUGACAAAAUGAACACCACGACUGAGGGACUGCAGAAACACCGCCUGCAGACCAAGGAGCUGCUCCUCCAACCACUGCGGAGGCAGCCCCGGAUCACAGACGUGCUGCAACACAGCUCGGCUCUGCCCCAGCAAUUAAUGGAAGCCCUCAAUGAUGGUGGUAGCAGGAAUUUGGUUUUCCCCCAGCACUGCAGGCAUGCUUUAAAGUGCCAGGAAACUGGGGGGGAAAAAAAGCUUUUUUUGUACAUGAUUUACUUGAACUUCAUUUAAUUUCUUCUAAGAAACAGAAAAAUCACUGAUGCAGAGCCCAGCAAUUUCAUUUUGUUCUGUAAAAGUACAGAUUUGGAUCCAAAAAUCAACUUGAAGUUUUACCAAAGGCUCUUCUGGCUCCUGAAGAAAAGCUCAUCGAGUUGCUAACGGUGCUAAGCUGCAGAAUGAUCCUGAAUGUUUGAUACCCACCCUCUCGUUAGCACCAGCAUCGCUGUCAGCACAGCUUCUGCACGUUGGUCUUUAGAAAAAGCACAUCUCAUCUGAGGACUCCAUAGGGGGCGGCUCAGUGGUCUCAUAUCUAAAGGAGUGCGACCUCUGCAGGGCCCUUUGCAGCUGUUAGGACUGGAUGUGAGAUAGCAGCACAGCCAGGCAGGUCUGAAAGUUUUAAAGAAAUCACCUAUUUAAUACACCUUCAGAGCCCUGCACGCCUCAGCUCUCCUACCUGCACAGCAGCAGCACUGAUGUGAGCCUCUCUGCUAAGGGUAGGAUCUAAGAGCACGUUGGGAUCCUGCAAUUAAAGGCAGUAAGGAGGCAAAGCGAAAGCGAAGCACCCCUGCUGUUUUUGUGGUAAAGCAGUCCACGAUUGAUGCACAGCAGCUCACCAAUCUAAACAAUGAUUUCGUUAAUAGCUCUGCUGAGGUCAGGUAAGUUUUGAGUGUAAUUGCAUCCUGCUUCCACAAGCAGAACAAUCACCGCCAUUAAUCACCCGCCCAUCUGCACAGAUGCUCAGGUUGCUCUUUGCAGGCUCACACCUGAGAUCUCCGGGUUCUGUUCAGUAAAAACGUGCCACAAAGUGCCGCUGAGACUGCUUCAGAAUGGAAGGUUUUCUGUGCAAUGUUUGCUGACUGUAGGAAAUAGGGCCGUUACCUCCUCUGCAGACUGCAAAGUCUUUUAAUUAUGGAGGUACUGCUAUCCUGUAAAUGAAGAUAGAAUAAGUUUGGUCUGAAGAAAAACAACAACAAAAAAAGCUUUAGUGUCAUUUCAAAGCGUUCAGUUACUGAAAUGGAAUUUUCUGUGCCUGCCAAAAUGAGUCCUGUUCAGUGUGAUGCAACAGGUGAUGGAAUUCCAGCAGCCGCCUCAGCCCACAUCUGGGAACAGUUAGGAGUUUAAAGGAAGUUCUGUAAGCAGUUCUUAUGUAUAAAACCGAUUCAUCAGUGGCAUCUAUGGGCCAUAUUCACCACCGCCCGCACGGCGCAUAGCUCACAUUUUUGUUUGGCUUACAAGAAAAGGAGCUCUGCUGCUCGGGACGUUUGAGGAUCCCAGGCACCGGUCCAGGCUGAGAACGUGCAGUGCUUCGUGGGGCUCUAUGGGCCGUCAGGGAGGUGAGGCUGCGCUUUGCAGGAGGUGUGAAUGCACUUCAAAUCGGUUCUACCCUGAUAGAUGCGCCACGUGUGAGGUGAGAGCUAUCAGAAGUGCUCCUCAGACAAGAGGGAGAUCUCUGGCUUAAGGGAAACCUGAGCCAGUGGUCCCCUCCUCCCAAGGGAAAAACACAUUUGUGUCAGUCCUUACAAACUCAGCAUCAAGAGAAAGGUUCUGUUUAAUGCCAUUAUAUUUACUGGGGGAGGAAAUCACCAAAAACCCACAGCACCUUCUCUUUAAAAGCCAUUUUUCACUCUCCCUUUUUCUUCUGUGCCUCUGCCAGCCCCUUGGAGGCCAAGCAUAGAAGACUGCCAAAGCAAUUGCCCUGCUGGCUUUGCUUGACUACCACAAGCUCAUCAGCCACGAGGGUGUAAUGCUACAGUGAGAGGGGAAGCACAGCAGUAAUAGCAGGGUAGCAAAGUCUUUAGCUGCAGAAAACGAAGACAAGCCCAAAUGCAAUAGCUAUAGAAACAAAGGAAAGAGGCUGCUUACCUCUGGAAGGCCUCAGGCAUGCAGAGAUCUCCAGCAGCUCCCCUUACCUCCACUGCCAACCCUUACAUGAGGGCUGGGAAGGAGGGGAUCCUGGCUACACCCCCUCCCGUCACUCAGCUGCAUUGCAUUGCAUUGCAUUGCACACAGCUGAGCUCCCCUGGGCUGGCCCUGCCCUCCCACCAGGUGCUCCAUCACUGCUUCAGGCUGUGAUCAGCAUUUCUGCUACAGAGGGUGACCUAUUCUGACAGAAACUGCAGAUAUACACAGAAAUGCUUUAAGAAUGUUUUAAGAGAAGCCGAUUUGAAAGUAUUCUGCAGAGCAAAUCCUCCAUCCUCGUGCCUGCAUUGCAGGCCACACACAAAUACAGAGCGAGGACCGACCUAAAGUUAUUUCUGUGGACUGGGCAGGAUGCUCACACCAUCACUGGAAAUGCUCUGAAUUGGUGUAACCGGCGUGGCUCAGGGUGCAGUUCACGGCUGUUAGAGCUGCCUCUGCAGAGUGCUUCUCACGUCCCAGCAAUCGCAGUCUGGACAGAGAUCUGUUCAUCACGUUCACUCUCAGCCUCCGGAUCUCCAACAAAGUGGUAUUUACUCCAAGGCAGGGCAGACUGCGGAGGCCAUGGAAGUUCUCAUCAGCCUAAAAUGCAGAAACAUCUGUUGGGGUCACAAGAUUCUCAUUUGCUGUUGAUGAGUGAAGGAUCGGCUCCAUUUGCAGCUGGCACAAACAAAGGGCUGUAGGGCUGAGGAGACAAACAGGCCUUAAUUUCCUCCUGAACUGCAUCUCCACUGCAGCACAAUGGCAAAAAGGGGUGAUUCCUUGUGCUGACCCUCGCUGACCUUAUCACUGCACAGGAAUUACAACAAAAAAUGCUGUAACAGAGCCCUCCUGAGCUGGAGGCUAAAGCAACCAGGACAGAACUCUCCAAGAAAUACCACAGCUGGUACACAGCUUUACACAAGUGUUCCAUUUAAGCAAGAAGGCCAUUACACCAAUGCCUGUGGUUCCUCUGAAGCAAUAGUGCACAUCCUCGUGCUCCUCACUGCUCUGUGCAGGCAGUCUGCCCUCAGCUCUGAGUUCCUCUUCACUUUGGGAUUCUUGUGUGGGUAAUGACUGCCACCUGCAGCAGCAAGGAAGUACUUCCCUUCGAUUUAGAGCUUUUUAAUUGCCAUCACAGCCAGAGCCUUUCCUCCCCCACCCUCCACCUUCCUUAAGGGUGAACACAGCAGCAUUCCAUCUCACUGAACACCAAUGCAGAUAUAUAUUACAUUUCCAUAGCUUAGGAAGUGAUGAGAGGGAGUAAAUCCGGAAAGCAGCUGAAACUCUGCAUAAGGCUUCUUUCAGCCAAAGGACAAACAGCUGAGUGAGGAGGUGCACCUGACACUACUAUCAGAGCAUGCACAUGAUAUUCUUCAGACAGAAACCACUGUCCCUGAAAUCUAACACUUAAAAGUGGUAGGAAGUCACUUAACUGAAGAUGAAAGGUUUAAUUUAAAAGUAUGUCCCAGAACUACUUUUUUUUUUUAAGCAAUGAAGUCUACCAUCAAUAAAUCCUUGGGCAGACAUUCUGCCUUGUGUUGGUGCAGAGACUCAGUAUUUAGGUUAGAAGUUUCCUUCUAUGUUCACAAUCUUCUGGCACCUGCACUUUGGGUGCCAAGAGGACGUGACUUGUCCCUGGGACUUAGUGCCUAGAAAUCCACCCCUGUACACACUGGGUAAUAUUAGCCCUAUGUAAGCCAGAUAAAAACAAGAGCUUCUUUAGGAGAUCAGUGAAGAUUUUCAAACACGAUGGCUCCUGAUAGAGCAGGGAAAAAAGUCCUUAUUGUAAAAUAAAGAUCUAAAGUACUUCAGGAGAAAGCAUCAAUACAAAAGCGUUUAUGUUUUAGUAAUUUAUUUACAAGACAAUUAGGCAACAAUUUACCAAAGCUCUACUUGUUACAAGCUACCUGUCUCCUUCUGCUCAUCAGCCUCAUUCUGUGCUACUCACAUUGCUUUUCCUCUUGAAAAAUCCAGAUAUAAGAGGCAAUAAAGAGUUCUUCCAGAAGCUGUUCACCAACUGAUUAAUGAACACACUGUGCAUCCUCCUGGUCCUCCUAACUAGAUAAAAUAACCAUAUAGUACAACAAACACAGUUCCACAUCUUUCUCUUGACACCUGGCCCUGUAAGGAACACUACUUUGGGAAGAGUUGCAAACCAGUGCACUUGGAGCCAGGUGCAAGAAAGUAAAACGAGUUUAAGGAUACAUCAUUCAUGUUUGCUAAGAAUAACAUUUGAUUUAAUUUUCAAUAUUGUCAAGGCAAUUUUGUGAUGAUAAAAAUGACUGUUUAAAAAAAAUGCCUCCUUAUGGGUAAGCAGAAGAAAACUCCAUUUUUGUAUCAGUCAUACAUGCUGCUGGUUUCACAUUCUGGUAUAACUGAAAAGCUGGAUGUGUUGUAUGUUCAUAAGUAAAGCAAAGAUACAGAACAAAUCAAAGACAAUAAACAAAAAAAAGUUUACUGACAUUGAUUUAGUACCCAGCCAUCAGUAACAAGCAAAAAUAAAACACACAGAAAUCACAGACACUCAGUUGAAGUACCAGUGUUUCACAACUUCUACUCCAUGAUUGUCUUCACAUAUUCUUUGAUUAUGCAGUGAAACUUCUUUACUAGCUUCAUAUGACAGGUUCUGCACUUGUGUGAAGCUCCUGGAACAAAUUAAGCAGGCAAAAUCAGUUACUGUGGAGGAUAACGUUGAUUAAACCACAAGGGGUAUGCACAUGGAGAUUCAUAGUUUCCCUACCAUAUAGCCAGCGUCAGAAAGCAGCACACUGAAGUAGUCCAUUAACAUUACACAGACAAAACAACUCUUUCCUUCAUAGGGACAGAAAUAAAGAUGCCUGCAACUUUGCAGGACUGUUCCCUCAAUUAAUCCUCCAAUACCCAUUCUGGAUUCAAAGGGUGAGAUCUAUAUGUUUUUCUCUGAAUAUACAGGGAGUUUUCACAUUGUUGUAAAUACCUUUGAAGUUCUUUCUCCAGUUUUUUGAACACGUCUUCAGUAUCUUGCAGUUCACUGAAUGCUUUUGCACUUUCUUCUGAGGAGUCUGGCAUAACUUCUGCCAGAAGUUCCUGGGUGACAGUCAACUGCUCUUGCAGUUUGUCUACAAUAUAAGAGAUAUUAAAAACAUUUUUACAGAUGCAUACAGUGGCAUUAAUAAUACAAGAUUAUGUAAUAGCUACAGUAAGGAGGACUGAGUGAACUACAUAAACUGUUGCUCGUUAAGCCAUUAGAAAAAAAUCAGAAAAGCCCAAUUACUUUUAGUUACAGAGACUAACAGUAACAACUCUAUUUCUGCUAUUUUAACUUGCUAACCAGGCUCAUUCAGAGCACCUCACAGAAUUUUACCACAGAUGCAAGAGAAAAAAGUCAAGCUUUAAACCUCCAAAGUUCCAUAAUUAACUGCACAUUGGAAAGUAUCACCAACUUGAAAUUUAUCCUGUCCUGUCCUUUAGCAUUCACAAAGCAAAAAUACACAUCUUAUAUUUUUCAGAAUUUCUUACAGGAAUUUUAUGUUUUUCAAUAAAAUAUUUCCAUUUGUUUUGAAAUGUAAGCAAGUUUCUACAGGAAGCACAAGCGAGUCUGUCCAUGGGGCCAUGCCCUUCAAACAGAAACUAAAAGACAUCACAGUAUUUCUACAACUCUUCAACUUGCUUACACAUUAGGAAGAGCAAGGAAGGAAGAAUGGAAUGAAUACAGUUUACAAAUCUCUUCUUUAUAUUUUAUUUUUUAAGACUGUCCUAAUCUAGAAAGUUCAUUUUCACCCUAUCAUAUGAUUAAAAAAACCUGUUUGACCGCAGUUUAAUGGUGAAAUGGAGACGGUAGUUAUUCAUAUCAAAAUACAUGACUAAUGUUGCAGCCCAGUGUCCAAACUCUAUGAACAGCACACAGAACUGCUCCAGUGACCACAAGCAGGUCUAGCAAAAACAAGACAAGUCUGGCACGUAAAAACAUUUAUUUCUGAAAGUAUAUUUUAAAUGUAAUUUUCAUACCUAGGUAUGUUGGCAUAUCUCCAUCGAUGUGAAUGUUCUUAAUGGGUAAUUUAUGUCUAGUGGCAUCCAGAGCAACUGCAAAGCUUUUAUACUGCUCUUUAAACCGUCCAAGAAGAGGAACAAGAGGAGAAAGUAGUUCCAUCUGAAAAGGGUAUGAUGAAUCAACACUUCUUCACAAAGCAGCCAUUUUGUACAUACAGCAAGAAUGGCUUUUCUCCACAUAAAUGGGAUUUAAGACUGGACUGAUACAGAAAAACAAUUUACGGUGUAUAUAUAUAUACAUACAUACACACACACACACAUCAACAACUGCCACUCUGAAUUGUUCAUUGACAGAAGAAUUCAAGGAGUUUGUGGUGUGAUAUUCCUGUUUUGCCUUGGCCAAUAAGGGUUGCCUUGAUGCUGCAGAAAGAAAUACUAGCAAGCAAAUUGCUCUACAUUGCAUCUUUUUCACUGUAGUUCUUUAUUCUUCAAAAGCCUUAUUUAAUUUCCACAAAGCUUAUUUGUUAAAAGCAAGCAUAUGUUCAGUUCUGCAAAUCAGUUGUUCAAAAGAUCCUACCCUUUUAAUCUGAUGCAACAAAACUACGAAAAUGCUGAGAAAGUGUGGAGGCUUCAGCUUCUAAAGAUGAUUUGCUAUCAAGAAAAUCAUUAAAAAUUCGUCUUCUUACAACUAGAUCAGAACUACUGCUGUCUAACAUAAAGUAUAAGUGACAGGAGAUGUUCACUACUCAUUUAAGGGUUAGCAUGUCUGCUCCAGUCAUAACAUCCUGCAGUUACACACUUACAAUGUGGUUUUAAGUUGUUUACAGUCAAUGCACAGGAGAUGUAAACUGCACUAGCAACUCGUGCAUUACUGCUGCCCCUUGCCUAACAGCAAUAACUUCUCCUUCCUGCCUCCAUAAGAGAUAGUAAAAAAAAAAAAAGUGACAAAGGCAUUUGUUUAGAUUACUGGAAAGCACAACAUGCUACAGCAGGAAGUAGAUGUUUACAGAUGCAUAAAACUGUGCCUCAGGAGGCCACAAAAGCAUAGACAUCAUCUUUUGAGAAACAACUACUAGAUUAUUACGUUCACUCUAGUAGCUAUUAAUAUAUUAUUAGCAAUGUAACAGAUGUGUUGUUUAAACACAGAAGAAUGAACUGUAAUAAAGCCUACCUGUUUUACAAGCUCCUCAUCAAGUUUUUCCUCUCUCUCUUUGAGCAGAAUUUCACGCUUCAACUCAUAGAGCUUCUCCUGUUGUCUCUCCUUUUCUUCACACAACAUUAACAAGUUUUCUUCUGCUUUUUCCUCAAGCUGAGCAACAUCCUUUCUCUGCUGUUACAUCCAAAAGACAUCCAUAACUAAAGUAACUUACUCCUGUUUCCCUGGAACUUCAGUACAUCCCUGCUUCAAGAAGAACCAGCACCAGCUUAAUAAACUGGCACAGAAUUCACUCUAAGAGAGUUUUCAAGGCAUACCCAUCAUGCAGUUUUGGAGCACGUCAUUUACAACACAAAAUCAUAACAAUCUGACUUUCAUGGAUUAGAAUGCAUACAACUUGAUAUCAAACUUCUUUUUAACCUGGAAUGCCACACACUUGACUGACUCUCACCUUUACUCCUAGGUAAGUUAAGAUCAGCUCCUGAGAUCCCAGCUCUGCCCCCACAACAACAGGAUUGUUUUUCUUGGGGAAAAAAGAAGAAAAAGAAAGAAUAUUCUAGAUCAGUUGUGGCAUUUAAGCAGUUACAUUUUCAGGAUGUAAAUUAAUUAUUGAAAGUCCAGUUUGUGGUCAGAAUCAGCAUUAUCAUCAGCAACAGUCACCUAGAUGAAUAUUAACUAAAUGUAUAUUCUUUGUUCACCCAAUCUUUAUACUGUUCUCAGCAGAUACUCAAAACACUAGAAUAGAACUUGUAGACUGCUGAAGGAGAUUAGGCUGAGUUAAUUUUCUGACAAAAAAUGGUUGGAAAAUACUUAAAGUGAUAUAAUUAAAAUGGUGCAUAAAAAGAAUUAGCCUGAAGAGAUUCUACAAAUGGAGCCGAUUUUUUUACUACAGCAAGCUAAGGUAAAAUGUUGAGACUUACACCCAAUGAACAAAACAAACGUUGCAAGCAGUACAAUGGAGCUCUCAUUUGGCUACUGCCCCAAGGCUUUAGAGCGUCUCAGAAACCUUAAUGGUUGUUACCAACAUUAGAGAAAUAGGAAAUUAUCAUUUCGUGUAUUCUAAAAUAAAGAUGCUUAACAAAUGGAA